rnacentral:rRNA from 1 species
UACGUAGGGGGCAAGCGUUGUCCGGAAUCAUUGGGCGUAAAGAGCGUGUAGGCGGCUCGAUAAGUCUGCUGUGAAAGUCCAGGGCUCAACCCUGGAAGGCCGGUGGAAACUGUCGGGCUAGAAUCCGGAAGAGGCGAGUGGAAUUCCCGGUGUAGCGGUGAAAUGCGCAGAUAUCAGGAGGAACACCGGUGGCGAAGGCGGUUCUCUGGGAAUGUCCUGACGCUGAGGAGCGAAAGUGUGGGGAGCGAACAGG